GCGUACGCGUAUGCACUUGCCCUUAUCAGGAGGAUAGCCCGGGGAAACUCGGAUUAAUACUCCAUAAGAUUUUGAUUGGCAUCGAUUAAAAUUGAAAGAUUUAUUGGAUAAGGAUAGGCAUGCGUCAGAUUAGUUAGUUGGUAGUGUAACGGACUACCAAGGCGAUGAUCUGUAGGGGGCCUGAGAGGGUGAACCCCCACACUGGUACUGAGACACGGACCAGACUCCUACGGGAGGCAGCAGUGAGGAAUAUUGGACAAUGGAGGGAACUCUGAUCCAGCCAUCCCGCGUGCAGGAAGACGGCCCUAUGGGUUGUAAACUGCUUUUGUAUGGGGAUAAAUCUACCUACGUGUAGGUAGUUGAAGGUACCAUACGAAUAAGCAUCGGCUAACUCCGUGCCAGCAGCCGCGGUAAUACGGAGGAUGCAAGCGUUAUCCGGAUUCAUUGGGUUUAAAGGGUCCGUAGGCGGGCUGAUAAGUCAGUGGUGAAAUUUUGUCGCUCAACGAUAAAACUGCCAUUGAUACUGUUAGUCUUGAGUGAUAUUGAAGUAGCUGGAAUGUGUAGUGUAGCGGUGAAAUGCAUAGAUAUUACACAGAACACCGAUUGCGAAGGCAGGUUACUAAGUAUUAACUGACGCUGAAGGACGAAAGCGUGGGGAGCGAACAGGAUUAGAUACCCUGGUAGUCCACGCAGUAAACGAUGCUAACUCGUUUUCGGGGAGUGAUCUUC
rnacentral:rRNA from 1 species